GUUAUUAUCAAAGUGGAAACCGAUAACUAACUUGACUGUUGUAAUAGACAGGGCUGCAGUUGUCAAUAAAACUCUGAUCUGGGGUCAGUUCUCUUCACACACUAACGGUUAAGAUGAGGGAAGCUGGUCCUAGAAGAGUACCCAGGGUAAACCCCCCCCCAGAGAUUCGAUUGGUCUGAUAUUACCUGUUAGAAUGCACUAUAACAUGUCAGCCAAUAGGAACCAGAGACGGGAUUUGUGGGUGUGUAACAAUAGAAUUCUAAAUUCAGUCUUUCAUGCUGCAUUCACAACCAAGUGGGAUGUUGGAAUUUACCAGUUUGUGAAGGCAUAAAUAACAGCUGGAUGCCUUCACCUGAUUUGAACUCAUGAGAAACUCCGGAUUGGCUAAUGGUGAACAAACCGUGUCGAAAUCCAUCUGCUUUGUAAACAAAGUGCAAUUUAAUUUGCCCAAAAAAAGCAGGUUAGUUAUUUUCUUCAGUAGGUGAGGUCAGAGGUCACCAUGUGGGAGAAGCGGACGCUCAGGAUGACAGCUUCCCCCACUAGUAGAGAUUACCAGUUGGGAGAGCCCUUCUAGUGGAUUUCUCCCAGUCUUUAUGGUAAAUUCCCACUAGUAGAUUACCAGUUGGGAGGGCCCUUCUAGUGGAUUUCUCCCAGUCUUUAUGGUAAAUUCCCACUAGUAGAUUACCAGUUGGGAGGGCCCUUCUAGUGGAUUUCUCCCAGUCUUUAUGGUAAAUUCCCACUAGUAGAUUACCAGUUGGGAGGGCCCUUCUAGUGGAUUUCUCCCAGUCGUAAUAUGGUAAAUUCCCACAUGGUUAUGAACUAAGCAUUUAAAUGAGAUCUGUUUGGUGCGACGCCCAAAAUGGGUUGGCUAACAGGGAAGAAGAGAAAUGACCAGCUUGCUUUUAAACUACAUGAACCCAGCCAAUAGGAACCACAAGUUGGAUGUGGGGUGUCAUUGAAAAAAAGGGAGGGAUUUUAUUGGUCAAUAGUGAGUUCCAGAGAUGCAUCUGAUUCAGUUAUUACGUCCGUCUGUUUCCGCCACAGUGGUCUCUUCUCACUAGUAGAUCCCAUCCAGGAACUUCCUGAUGUCCUUCUUGACCGUGGUGACUUGUUG
ensembl:lncRNA